rnacentral:rRNA from 1 species
AGAGUUUGAUCCUGGCUCAGGACGAACGCUGGCGGCGUGCCUAAUACAUGCAAGUAGAACGCUGAGAACUGGUGCUUGCACCGGUUCAAGGAGUUGCGAACGGGUGAGUAACGCGUAGGUAACCUACCUCAUAGCGGGGGAUAACUAUUGGAAACGAUAGCUAAUACCGCAUAAGAGAGACUAACGCAUGUUAGUAAUUUAAAAGGGGCAAUUGCUCCACUAUGAGAUGGACCUGCGUUGUAUUAGCUAGUUGGUGAGGUAAAGGCUCACCAAGGCGACGAUACAUAGCCGACCUGAGAGGGUGAUCGGCCACACUGGGACUGAGACACGGCCCAGACUCCUACGGGAGGCAGCAGUAGGGAAUCUUCGGCAAUGGGGGCAACCCUGACCGAGCAACGCCGCGUGAGUGAAGAAGGUUUUCGGAUCGUAAAGCUCUGUUGUUAGAGAAGAAUGAUGGUGGGAGUGGAAAAUCCACCAAGUGACGGUAACUAACCAGAAAGGGACGGCUAACUACGUGCCAGCAGCCGCGGUAAUACGUAGGUCCCGAGCGUUGUCCGGAUUUAUUGGGCGUAAAGCGAGCGCAGGCGGUUUUUUAAGUCUGAAGUUAAAGGCAUUGGCUCAACCAAUGUACGCUUUGGAAACUGGAGAACUUGAGUGCAGAAGGGGAGAGUGGAAUUCCAUGUGUAGCGGUGAAAUGCGUAGAUAUAUGGAGGAACACCGGUGGCGAAAGCGGCUCUCUGGUCUGUAACUGACGCUGAGGCUCGAAAGCGUGGGGAGCAAACAGGAUUAGAUACCCUGGUAGUCCACGCCGUAAACGAUGAGUGCUAGGUGUUAGGCCCUUUCCGGGGCUUAGUGCCGGAGCUAACGCAUUAAGCACUCCGCCUGGGGAGUACGACCGCAAGGUUGAAACUCAAAGGAAUUGACGGGGGCC